ACCCAGGCAGGGCUCGGAGCACGGGUUCCCCUGCAGAUGGCAGCCCUCGCUUAUCAGCCCCAAGAGCACCGCCACCCUGCGUGCCAAGCGCUGCAGGGCCCUCCCACAUGCUGAUCACUUCACCCUCACAGCCUGUGUUCCAUGAGGAAGCUGAGGCCAGCCACACAGCUGGUAAGGAGCAGAGCUGGGACUUGAACCCCAGCAUGUCUGUCUGACUUCGCCUGCAUGCACAGCAGAGGAGGAGCACAUGGUCACAACCCCCCGGGCUGCGUGGGAGACUGGCCACAAGGCCUGCAGGGACCUUGACGGCACGAUUCUGGGCGCCCUGUUAUUUUGGAAGCACUUCCCAGGCAUCGCAGGCCCGUCUCAGCUGGCUUUGUUAGUGGCAGCUAACAAGCCAGAGGCUGGGAGGCUGGGGAAACUGAGGUAGAAUUUUAACUCGACGCCCCCCCCCCCGCCCUUUUCCCAUCAUGCUCCUGUUGUGUGACCCAUAGCACACUGGGCUUUGCUUUCUUCCUGUUCAUAGCAAUUGGAAUUGACUAUUUGUCCAAUUACCUGUUCAUUUUCCCUUCACUGUGCAUUCACCCGGUGUGUACUUUUGGGCCAGGUAAUAGUCACGUGAGUGACUGCCCCCUGUGGCACUUAUACUCCAGCGGAAAAGGACACACAGUCAUAAGUGAAACCAACAUAGAGUGUCAGCAGGUGGUGAGCGCUCAGAAGCCCUAGGAUGGGGGUCGUGAAGGGCCUUCCGGACGUUCCCGUGACCAGCCACUGAAGUGGUCCUGCCCAGCAUAGCAGGGACCUUGGGACCCUCCACAGGCCCUACAGCCAACUCCUAUUCUGAUUGGCCCAGUGCCCAGGUCACAUAAUAUUCUUUAUUAUCUAAAAAGGAAUAGACUUUAUCUUUAAGCUCAUUUUUAGGUUCACAGCAAAACUGAGCAGAAAGUACAGAGUUCCUGUGCACCCUCUGUUCCCCCUCCAUGCACAGCCUCCCCCCACUGGCAACAUCCCACCCGAAGAGGGGCACAUUUGGUACAGUCGAUGAACCUAGACCGAGGUCAUUAUCAGCCAAAGUCCACGUUCACGUUAGGUUUCGCUCUGCGUAUUGUGUCUUCCACGGGUUUGUUUGGGCAAGCGUAUCCACCGUUACGGUAUCGCGCAGAGUAGUUUCGCAGCCCUGACAGUCCUCUGUGUUCCCCCAUCGCGCUGGUGUUUAAAUACUGGGACUGUUGCUCCCGCUGAGAACAGUGCGUGUGCAGUAAAUGCCCUUGGAAUGAGUGGGAAGGUGUAGGAAUAGGCAAAAGCCCCAAGCUAAGCGGUGGGCGUGGCUUGGAG